AAUCAACGCUGGCGGCGUGCCUAACACAUGCAAGUCGAACGCGAAAGUCCCGCAAGGGAUCAGUAGAGUGGCAAACGGGUGAGUAACACGUGGGUGACCUGCCUUCGAGUGGGGGAUAACGUCCCGAAAGGGACGCUAAUACCGCAUGGCAUCCUGCCUUUGAAGAGGCGGAGAUCAAAGCUGGGGAUCGCAAGACCUAGCGCUUGAAGAGGGGCCCGCGUCCGAUUAGCAGUUGGUGGGGUAAGUGGCUCACCAAGGCGACGAUCGGUAGCCGGCC
rnacentral:rRNA from 1 species